CGAUGAAUCUUCUAGCUUGCUAGAAGUGGAUUAGUGGCGCACGGGUGAGUAAUGCAUAGGUUAUGUGCCCUUUAGUCUGGGAUAGCCACUGGAAACGGUGAUUAAUACUGGAUACUCCCUACGGGGGAAAGUUUUUCGCUAAAGGAUCAGCCUAUGUCCUAUCAGCUUGUUGGUGAGGUAAUGGCUCACCAAGGCUAUGACGGGUAUCCGGCCUGAGAGGGUGAUCGGACACACUGGAACUGAGACACGGUCCAGACUCCUACGGGAGGCAGCAGUAGGGAAUAUUGCUCAAUGGGGGAAACCCUGAAGCAGCAACGCCGCGUGGAGGAUGAAGGUUUUAGGAUUGUAAACUCCUUUUGUUAGAGAAGAUUAUGACGGUAUCUAACGAAUAAGCACCGGCUAACUCCGUGCCAGCAGCCGCGGUAAUACGGAGGGUGCAAGCGUUACUCGGAAUCACUGGGCGUAAAGAGUGCGUAGGCGGGGUAAUAAGUCAGAUGUGAAAUCCUGUAGCUUAACUACAGAACUGCAUUUGAAACUGUUACUCUGGAGUGUGGGAGAGGUAGGUGGAAUUCUUGGUGUAGGGGUAAAAUCCGUAGAGAUCAAGAGGAAUACUCAUUGCGAAGGCGACCUGCUGGAACAUUACUGACGCUGAUGCACGAAAGCGUGGGGAGCAAACAGGAUUAGAUACCCUGGUAGUCCACGCCCUAAACGAUGGAUGCUAGUUGUUGCCUUGCUUGUCAGGGCAGUAAUGCAGCUAACGCAUUAAGCAUCCCGCCUGGGGAGUACGGUCGCAAGAUUAAAACUCAAAGGAAUAGACGGGGACCCGCACAAGCGGUGGAGCAUGUGGUUUAAUUCGAAGAUACGCGAAGAACCUUACCUAGGCUUGACAUUGA
rnacentral:rRNA from 1 species